AUCCAGCUGACGAGUCCUGAAUAGGACGAAACCCGCGUCCUGGAU
rnacentral:hammerhead_ribozyme from 1 species